AUGAACGCUGGCGGCGUGCCUAAUCCAUGCAAGUCGCGCGAACAGACGAGGAGCUUGCUCCUCUGACGUUAGCGGCGGACGGGUGAGUAACACGUGGAUAACCUACCUAUAAGACUGGGAUAACUUCGGGAAACCGGAGCUAAUACCGGAUAAUAUAUUGAACCGCAUGGUUCAAUAGUGAAAGACGGAUUUGCUGUCACUUAUAGAUGGAUCCGCGCCGCAUUAGCUAGUUGGUAAGGUAACGGCUUACCAAGGCGACGAUGCGUAGCCGACCUGAGAGGGUGAUCGGCCACACUGGAACUGAGACACGGUCCAGACUCCUACGGGAGGCAGCAGUAGGGAAUCUUCCGCAAUGGGCGAAAGCCUGACGGAGCAACGCCGCGUGAGUGAUGAAGGUCUUCGGAUCGUAAAACUCUGUUAUUAGGGAAGAACAAAUGUGUAAGUAACUAUGCACGUCUUGACGGUACCUAAUCAGAAAGCCACGGCUAACUACGUG
rnacentral:rRNA from 1 species